rnacentral:lncRNA from 1 species
AGAACAGCACAUGUUAAGGAAUGAAGAGUGUACCCGUGUCGGCAAUGGCAACGCGAUCAGGAGUAACAGCCUAGAGUUAGCUGCCUCCAGUAACCCGAUUUUAAUCGCCCGUUAAAUACCCUGUAAGUUAAAAUGUAACUUGCCAUCCUAAAACGAGCCGAGCUGUAAGAUAAGCUAUCUUUUUAACGUUAUCGUUCAUCCGAUCUAAGACACCUGAGCUGGCUGGAGUACGGGGAGGGCUAAGGGCUUCCCCGGUUCUAAUUUCGGGUCUCAUUUCCCUGCGGCAAGAAGACACCUCCCGGCUCCCCGCGGAGGCGGCGGCGAGGCUUGGCCGCAGGAGACCAACCCGCGCCCCGCGCCCCACGCCCCCGGGACUGGGAAAACCCUCCCGCGCCCGGACGUGCACCUCAGCCGCGCCGCGCAGCAUGGAGCGGUGCCACGUGUUGGCCAGGGACGGCCCGCGCCUCCUUGCCCGCCCGGGACUCACGGCGCCGCGGCGGUCAGGGACGGGCCUGGCUCCCGCCUCGCCUUCUUCCGCCCAGCUCGGCUCGGCGUGGCUCGGCCCGCGAUCCCUAUGGGAACCGGCUCCCGCCCCGGGUCUGCCUGGGCGGGGCCGCCGCGCCCCAGCUUCCCACCCCCGGCCCGGCCCAGCCCGGCCGCCCUCCCGGCUGCAGGGAAAGGCCUCGGAGGGCCGCCCUCCGUCCAUGGGAGCUGUCCUGACCGCGGGCCGAGUCCUGCUGCCGGGAGAGCAGACCUGCUAGAUUUGCAAACUUCCGCAGGCCGUGCAAAGCGCAGCUGUAACCGCGUCUGCGGAGCAAGACGCCUGCGCUAGGAGCCCCUCCUGAGCGGUCCACAUUUCCCUGCAACAGCAGUCCCCACACCUCAGAACCGCGGUUAUUCCCUUUGGUCCCUUGGAGGCAUCUUCUGUGUCUGUGCUGAUCAGUGCUGCGGCGUCAGUGAAUGAAUGAGAGGGAGAAAGGAAAGAAGAGGAAGGCGUGACUGCAGAAAUUGCUUAAAGUCAGCACUUUCCUCUACAGUAGGGAAGGUUCCACGGCAGUCUUCUGCUGUGGGACUUUUCUGGUGUGGGAGGUGGAAGCUUACAGAGUCUGCCUUAAUUGUUUUUGGUUCCUUUCCCCCAUCUUUCUCCCAACGGACUCCUACUGCUCAAAUCUGAGCACACUGGCGGGAAGCGGAUGGACCUGGGGAAAUUAUGAAAUCAUGUCAGUUGCCACUGGGCAGAGUGCCUCACACUUUAUCAUCCGUCCCGUUCCCAGUGCCAGCAUCAAUGCGGGUACUUGUCCUGGAAGCAGUACCCGAGGAGAGAAAAUUAACACAGUGUCUAUGAAACAGGGGCCAAUCCCGUGUCAAGCAGCAUGCUACUAAAUGUAAACCCAGGAAGGGUUCAGAAAGGAGCCUGGAGCUGAGGAGAGAGGGCUGGUGGCUGCCCUGGAAACCCAGUACAAGGAUGGCCUAGAGGUGGUCUGUGAACAGAAAUUGUUUGCAAAUGGCAACCAUUGAUCUGUUUUCUGUCUCUAUAGUUUUGCCUUUUCCAGAAUGUCAUGAAAAUGGAAUCAGACCGUAUGUAGCCUUUUGAGGAUAGAGGAUCUCCCCCACCACCCCAACUCCAGUGAGCUUUCAGAUGAGAUUGUAGCCCCAGAUGACAAUAUGGAGUCUUGCCCUGUUGCCCAGGCUGGAGUGCGGUGGUGCCAUCUCGGCUCAUUGCAACCUCUGCCUCCCAGGUUCAAGCGAUUCUCCUGCCUCACCCUCCCGAGUAGCUGGGAUUACAGAUUUCACAGAGAAGACUCUUCGGUAUUCCACCAUGGGAUGGUAAAGAUCUGGCUGCCAGGAUUCAGUAAGAAAAGGAGGAUUCUGGCUUUCUUAUCCAUCAUGUAAAUGUCCCCUGUUUUGAGGAUGGUUCCCCUGUCAUCUACUGUAUCCCGUAUUCUUAACAUAGCCAAAAUAAACAGCCACACACUUACUGAAAUCAUAUCAUAUGUGCAUUUUUAAAGAAUAAAUAACUUUAUAUUCCAUUUGUAUAACAUUUUAUUGUUUGCGUAUUGCAUAGUGAAAAGAACAGAGUCAGAAGACUCAUGGUCAGGCUCAACUACUAACUUGCUGUGUAAAUUGGAUAGAUCUCUUAACCUUGCUAAACCCUUACUUCCUCAUCUGAAAAAUAGAGAUAAUACUUAUUUUACAGAAUUGCUAAAUACUGAAUGAGAUACUUAUACUGUUUUCCUCUUAAGUAAUUAGUCAAAAUAAUUAUAGAGUUUGCUAUUGCUAACCCCUUGUUCAUCAUCUCAAUGCUGUUCUCAAUAAAUGCAUUAAGACAACAGGUACCAAUGUAACACUUUAAUUUUGAAUAUUAACAAUAGCAAAAGAAAAACAAACUCAAAAAUGACCCUACCCUUUAUUAUUUUUAGAAUACUGGCUUUUAAAUACUUAUUGAUACUAUCCCAUCAGGAAUUCAAUUCAUUUAAAUAUUUUUUUUCUUCUUCAACCUACUCAAAAUGAAUACCUACAUAUGUGAAAAACCCAAGAUUACAUGUGUAAUUACUUUAUAGUUUCCUCUCUGGCAUAGUAUAAGUAAAAUACAUAUCAUGGGCAAUUAAAUACUUCCCCCUGCUACAUUAGGGAUGAUAAUAUAUAUGAAGAUUAAUUCCUUAUGCAUUAUCCCUAAUGUAAAGAAAAAUCACAGGUAUUUUAUACUGCUUGUCAAGAAUACAUACACAUGGUAGACACAGCUAGACAUACACACCCCUUCUAAGAAUAUUUCAACUAUCAUCAAUAUCUUCUGUAUGAUCCCUUACAACUAUCUGUAGUUGAAAACAUAAGACUCCCUUUUAAGGUAAUUCUGUAUGAAACUGUAUUAUAAAAUACUUUUGUUAAGCAAAAUUGCAUGUGUGUGUUGAACCCCCAAACACUCAAAGUAC